GCUGCAUCGGUUAGAUCGGGAUACUCAUCAAUAAUUACAGAAAUACCGAGUAAGCUACUCCGCUUCAAUGGCGGGCCGACACAUUUCAUGGAGUCGGAUUACAGAGAACGGAGAGCCCUCAAAUCUUAUUUUAGCUCGGAGUUUCAUCACAUCACCGGUGUAGCCUUCUU
rnacentral:sRNA from 1 species